UUUUUUGUGACUUCUGGGAGGUUAUUCAACCAUCUGCCUCCAAGUUGGUUUAUUGGUCGAAAGCUCAGAAAAAGAAACAAACAUUUGAACCCAUUUCUCCCAGUCCAACGUGUAGACUGCAACUGGUUGAGUUUUUUCUCUUCUGCUGCCGGGUUGCUGCAGGCCUGCAAGAGAAGGUGCUGGCUGACAUGUUUCAGAGCUGACUGAACGAAGUGGACUGCUGGAUUUACUGGAGCCAGGAGAUGGCUGCAUGGCAGACAAGGGUUUUACCAUCGAGAAACCACUAGCUGAUCGUGGGGCAACGCUGAUUAUACCACCCUUCAAGAUGACAGUUCACUGAAGAGGAUGCUCUGAAAACACAAGCAAUCGCUCGACUUCGAAUCCUCGUAGAAAGAGCAAUAGGCAGAGUCAAGGAAUACCGCAUCUGGGAACGCACUGUCCUUUCACCUUGUCUGCGACAGUCAAUCAGCUGUGGACCGUCUGCUGUGUGAUGACCAACUUCCAGGGACCACUUGAUUUAAAAGGCUACAUCCCUGUUGAAUAGUGUUUCUACUCAAACAUGUACCUAUAAAUAUUAAAUAUAAUAUAUAAAUAUUAAAACGAGAGGCACUGAACAUUU